rnacentral:lncRNA from 1 species
UGUUGCUGUCUCGUGACUGCCCUGAUGCUGGUGCCGCAGUGGUUGCAGUCCUCGCUGCUCGCCGGUGACUACAUUGGGAACUGCUGCCAGGUACGAUCUGCGCUGGUUCCUUGCGCCUGGAAGUAAUUUGCUAGUUCGUGCAGUUCGUUUCAGAAAACUGGACUUCGAUUAGUACUACCGGCUGCUUGUUUUUGCCGAUGGAAACUUUGCUACUAGUUGCUGCCCGUUAGUUGAUUGGAAUCAAGUGUCUCGGCCGUUGAUCAGGGGCAUAUACAAGGAGUCGUGUUAAUUGAAGUUUGGGUACAUUAGCACAUAACAUACGUGGAAUUGUGGAAUUGGUGUUUAGCUCUAGGUGAUGAUUUGGAUUAGUUCUGCAUUUUGUUUAGUUGACCAGCUGGUUCAGUUCUUUGAUUUUUUUACAGUCGAGUGAUUAGAAAUCAGGCACCUACACUAGCGGGCAGAGGUUGAUUAAGCAGUCAUGUUGUGGCUGCCGGCUGCGUUUGGAAUAGAUGUUGAUUAAUUAGUACUAGUGCUGCUAGUUGUUUAGCAUCUGUACGCUGGCAUUGCACUAGUAAGGAAUUUAAGGUGGCUUGAUUAGCAUGAUACCUUCUGUUUUGGUCAGAUGCAGUAGGCUGUACUUUUCUGUUAUUUGGAGGCAAGAUAAGAGUCUGGAUACACCGUGUAUUAAGACUUGCUUUACCUCGCAGGUCCAGGAGUUUCAGGUGUGAGUCAUAAAUCUGCAGAUUAAUCGUCAGUCCUGUUUCGGGAUUAAGGCAAGUACAUGACGAGUCCCCUGUGAAAUUAUUUGCCAACGUUGUUUUGUUAUCCAAGUUGAUAUUUGAAUUCCUUGGUGUUUGUGCUAUCGGAAGGUUUUGUUUUAAGCCAGGGCGGUGAGUAAGUUACAGGUAACUAUUCUGGUGCGGUCGGUGAGUUAAGUUAUUAUGUAACUAUUCCGGUGAGCUUGAACUAGGUCAAUGAGUAAUUCACGUGUUUAACUAUUUCGGUGCGGACGGUGAGAAAGUUAACGGUGAAUAUUCCGGAAUGCUCCAAUCAAAAAAGGACAAAGUUUAUAAAGAGUUUCAUGGCUUUAUUUUGGACUGUGUUUCAAUAUGAUGAAUGUUGUUAUUUUGGCUCCAUACUGUCCUUUGCUGAGUAAUGAUUACUCACUCUUGCUCUCUUGUUGUUUGUUUUAUUUGGUUUUCAGGUACUCCGAGUAAUGGUAUGCAUGGGCGGGAGUAGCAUCACUAUGCACUGGACAGCACACAUAUCACAUAUUAAAGAUUAAAGUUUUAGUUUCAUACCUUCUGUUUUACUUGAGGUACCCUUUUGCAUUUUCGUGUGAGAUUUAGUCUUUGGUCGCUUGAGUCUUAUUGGUUACUUGUAUUGGAGUAUUUAGUUAUUAUGAACUGCGUGCAUGUCUUUCUAGCUUCCUGGUUAUAUUUGAGAGAUAUGGCAAAUUGCCUGUCGUGGAUGUCCUUAUAAACAAAGGAGACUCUACCGAAAAUUCUAGAUUUUCACAUGAGUUAAUAUUACUUGCAUUGUGUGGUAA